rnacentral:rRNA from 1 species
ACGGGGUGCAGCAGGCGCGAAAACUUUACAAUGCAGGAAACUGUGAUAAGGGAACCCCGAGUGCCCGUAUACGCGGGCUGUCCAGGUGUCUAAAACGCAUCUGAAGAAAGGGCCGGGCAAGACCGGUGCCAGCCGCCGCGGUAAUACCGGCGGCUCGAGUGGUGGCCACUUUUAUUGGGCUUAAAGCGUCCGUAGCUGGACCCUUAAGUCUCUUGGGAAAUCCGCCGGCUUAACCGGCGGGCGUCUAAGAGAUACUGGGGGUCUAGGGACCGGGAGAGGUGAGAGGUACUCCGGGGGUAGG